GCUAUAGGUCCGGUGUGACUUCCACCAACUGCGGAAGCAGUACAGCCUGGCGCACCACGCUUCCGCUGCUGAUGAGCGCCAUGCUAGGCACAGACUGCCAGAGGUUUUGCGACACAUAUCUGGCAGCAAGGAGGCAGCGCAGAAGAUGUAUACGCUGUCAGCACAACAGUCAGUUGCAGGUAGCUAGGGUGUCGUGCGGGCAGGUGAAGAGAUAAACGUUGGACGUAAGCAACUACCCGUUCAAUAAACUGGCCACGAGAUGUGUGGCGGUCAUUUAGUUGGUGGGAGAGUGAUUAGGGGCGCGCGACCGUGUUACACGAGAAUGUGUCUCUCUCGGGAUCGGAAAUGCGCUGUCACAUGGUGUGCAUUUGUGGCAGAACAACUGCGACGGAGGAGAGGCUCCGUUUCUGCUUGGUUUGCAGUUUGUUCAACGCAUGAACUUUGCUAUCCGUGGGGGUAAUACUGGGAGGCACAUCUAGAAUCGGGGGAGCAGACGCAAUAGUCGUGGAGGUAGCCAUCGUCUGUCGCGCAUGUGACGACGUCGCCUCGCCGGAGCCACGGAGUUGGCGUAUGUGGAUCGGGUCUCUGGUGAUCUGGGUGACCUGGUGUGGGUGUGCAGUGGAUGAGAUCGGAUUCGACAGAUUGUGGACCGCAGAGUUGUGCGCACGUGUCGCUGUGCAGGCACAGAAGGUAAAGGCGUGGUUUGUGACCGGAG
rnacentral:lncRNA from 1 species